GUACUUACCUGGCAGGGAAUAUACCAUGAUCAUGAAGAUGGUUUUCCCAGCAGGGCGAGGCUUAUCCAUUGCACUCUGGAUGUGCUGAACCCUGCGAUGUCCCCAAAUAUGGGAAACUCAACUGCAUAAUUUGUGGUAGUGGGGGACAGCGUUCGCACUUUCCCCUG